AAAAACUGAGGCCCUGUUACUCUCUCACUCACUCUCUGGGUCUCGAUCUCUUUCUCUCAACCCUCUCUAAACCCUAAUCUCUCUCAACUGAUCGAAUCAACCUUCUUCAACCCCGUUUGAUCUAAUCUCAUAGCGAUUGAUGAUUCAUCUCAGAUCCAAUCUCAGAGCGAUUGGUGAUUCAUCUCAGAUCCAAUCUUAGAGCGAUUGGCAAUUUCGAUUUUGAGAUUUUGAAGCUCCAUCGCCUCCAUCAUUUGCACCGGUGAGGGGAGCGAGCACCAUCGUCUACUAAGCCGUUGAAGUUCCAAAGUGUGUGGACACUGUUACCCCUGAAUACAAACCCAAGUUUGAUGCCUGUUGGUGGAACUGAAAGAAGCAGAAGUAACAUCUCUGAAGGAGUCUAAAAGAUUAGAGAAAGAAAUUGUAGAAGUCCAAGAGUUGAAGCAAAAGAUCAGUACCAUGACUGCACCGGCAUACAUAGCUUUCUAGCAUGUUUGUUGUGAUGCUCUUUGGAUAAUAGCUCAAUGGUCUUAGAAGGAGCACAUUGUGUUUCUUGCAUUUAGGGUUGUAUUCUCUAAUUCAAUGAAUUCUUAACUGUAAGAAAUGAUGACUAUUUUGAAAUACGUGAAUUUUGAUGCAUAAACUUAUGUAUCGAUAUAGAAUACACAGAAUUGUGUGCCA